GUAAGUAUUUGGAAGGGUGGAUGGCCUGCCCAGUGACACCCCGUUCAACGGCCGCGGUAUCCUAACCGUGCGAAGGUAGCGCAAUCAAUUGUCUCAUAAAUCGAGACCUGUAUGAACGGCUAAACGAGAUCUCAACUGUCUCUUGUAGAUAAUCAGUGAAAUUGAUCCCCCCGUGCAAAAGCGAGGAUAAUACCAUAAGACGAGAAGACCCUGUGGAACUUAAAAAUCAACAGCCACCUCUUCAACACAAAACCUACUCAGGCCUACCACCCAGAGAGCAUUGACUGAUAUUUUUUGGUUGGGGCGACCUUGGAGAACAGCAAAACCUCCAAAAACAAGACUAUAAAUCUUAACCUAGAGCCACCCCUCAAAGUACUAAUAGUAACCAGACCCAGUACCAAUCUGACCAAUGGACCAAGCUACCCCAGGGAUAACAGCGCAAUCCCCUCCAAGAGCUCCUAUCGACGAGGGGGCUUACGACCUCGAUGUUGGAUCAGGACAUCCUAAUGGUGCAGCCGCUAUUAAGGGUUCGUUUGUUCAACGAUUAACAGUCCUACGUGAUCUGAGUUCAGACCGGA
rnacentral:rRNA from 1 species